ensembl:snoRNA
UCUUUCCUGUGUAAACACUGUCCCUGUAAUUGCAGCUGCCAGGACCUUGUCUUGGUUUUUAUAAUAAUGCUAGCAGAAGACACCCAAGAAGAAAAGUAACUGCAUUACAUCAGAAAACCGGUGCUGAAACUGUCUUAAAUUCCAAUGUCUUUACUGAAUACAAAUUUAAUGAAUUGAAA